GCUUUGCAUUGGUGUUAAUCUCAUUCAUUUAUCUUCUGUUUUCAAAUUGAUAUGAUUUUUUGAAGUUGACCCAUGCUUGUUGACUUUCACCAUGCUUACUUGAAUUUGGUUUGACUUCAUGAUUUUACUUGACUGCCUUCCUCUCAUCCAAAUGCCAUGAAAUUUUACAUGUAUACCAUGUUAGAUGCUAGGAUUGAGUGUGAUUUAUUUCAUGAUUUUUGAAAAUAUUUGGGUUGACUUUUGAUGCAAGUCAUUCUGUUGACUUUUGUAUGCUUUCUUUGCCUUACUUUGACUUCAAAUGUUC
rnacentral:lncRNA from 1 species